GAUAACCUGCCCUUGGGUUCGGCAUAACCCCGGGAAACUGGGGAUAAUUCCGGAUAACGCACAUAUGCUGGAAUGCUUUUUGCGUAAAAUGGAUUCGUCUGCCCAAGGAUGGGUCUGCGGCCUAUCAGGUAGUAGUGGGUGUAAUGUACCUACUAGCCUACGACGGGUACGGGUUGUGAGAGCAAGAGCCCGGAGAUGGAUUCUGAGACACGAAUCCAGGCCCUACGGGGCGCAGCAGGCGCGAAAACUCUACAAUGCAGGCAACUGCGAUAGGGGAACAUCGAGUGGCACCCACCAUGGGUGUCUGUCCAGCCGUCUAAAAAACGGCUGUUAGCAAGGGCCGGGUAAGACCGGUGCCAGCCGCCGCGGUAAUACCGGCGGCUCGAGUGGUGGCCGAUAUUAUUGAGUCUAAAGGGUCCGUAGCCGGCUUUGCAAGUCCCCUGGGAAAUCCAGCGGCUUAACCGUUGGGCUUCCAUGGGAUACUACAUUGCUUGGGACUGGGAGAGGUAGGAGGUACUCAGGGGGUAGGGGUGAAAUCCUGUAAUCCUCUGGGGACCACCGGUGGCGAAGGCGUCCUACCAGAACAGGUCCGACGGUGAGGGACGAAAGCUAGGGGCACGAACCGGAUUAGAUACCCGGGUAGUCCUAGCCGUAAACGAUGCUCGCUAGGUGUCACGGCAGUCGUGAAUUGUCGUGGUGCCGUAGGGAAGCCGUGAAGCGAGCCACCUGGGAAGUACGACCGCAAGGUUGAACUUAAGGAU
rnacentral:rRNA from 1 species